AUGAAUUAUAUGAUGCACAUUUAAAGGAGUGGGUUCCCUGAGUGAGCAACAUAGAGGAGCAUACCAAUCAAGGGGUGCUUCGACAGUUCAUCAAUAGGGCAGGGAGGAGAGAGGAGAGAUUGAACAAGAGUUUUUUGCAUAGCUCAUGCCAACAACUCAGAGAGACUUUUCCAACAAUUUACUUAUAAUUGAGGUGACUAAACAAUGCCCCACAUAAGACGAUAGGACAUUGGAGGCGACCAAUAUAUUUAUCCUCGUAAGGAUGGUGACAGAACUUAUGAGUAACCAGCUCAGCAUGUUGAACACAGAAAAGAAACAAGGAGCGACUAUGGAGGAGAAAAACAAGCGAAGAAAACUGCCAUGGAGGAAAUUUACUAUGAAAUUUUAAGACAAUUGUUGGAGAGAAGAGAACUGAUAGAGAUGAAAUCAGCAUUACGUUCAAAAUCAGUUCUACUCUUUGAAUAUAGGAUAUAAUAAUUUCUUUUGCAUUUCUCAGU